ACACAACCUACUGGGCAAUAACUGGUUGGAUCAACCUUGUUUUAAGUCAUUUUAACCCCCAAAAUAUAUGUGAAGACGUUGAAUCAGUCUGGAAAACUGAUUGGAAUUGCAGAAACAUAUAAACGUUAAAUCAGCUGUUUUGGUGAACCCCUUCCGCAUCUGAACUGGCUGACACAGAGGGCACAGCAUGAUCAUAGAGGACCUGAGCCCUAGGACCAUGCCUCAGGACUACCUGACAUAAUGACUCCUUGCUGUCCCCAGUCCACUUGGCCGUGCUGCUGCUCCAGUUUCAACUGUUCUGCCUUAUUAUUAUUGGACCAUGCUGGUCAUUUAUGAACAUUUGAACAUCUUGGCCAUGUUCUGUUAUAAUCUCCACCCGGCACAGCCAAAAGAGGACUGGCCACCCCACAUAGCCUGGUUCCUCUCUAGGUUUCUUCCUAUGGAGUUUUUCCUAGCCACUGUGCUUCUCCACCUGCAUUGCUUGCUCUUUGGGGUUUUAGGCUGGGUUUCUGUACAGCACUUUGAGAUAUCAGCUGAUGUACGAAGGGCAAUAUAAAUACAUUUGAUUAGAUUUUUUUAGUGCAGCUCAUCCAGGAUGGCACAUCAAUGCGAGCUGUGGCAAGAAGGUUUGCUGUGUCUGUCAGCGUAGCGUCCAGAGCAAGGAGGCGCUACUAGGAGACAGGCCAGUACAUCAGGAGAUGUGGAGGAGGCUGUAGGAGGG
ensembl:lncRNA